CAUGCUCAGCUGGAGAAAGAACUGGCUGGGUUGAUGAAGCAGCAGCAGACUGAUUCACGGCAACAGAGCAACGUAAAAC
rnacentral:SRP_RNA from 13 species